GAAAUUCCAAAAAACAUAAUCAAACAACUAACAAACAAUAUGGGGCAUAAUCAUCCAAAACACCCACCAAUAAAAGUAAGGUUUUAGAAUUGCGCCAAUUAAUACUGAUUAUGUAAUUACAUGUGGAUGGCCCACCGAACCAUUUCUAUAAUUAUCAAAACAGCUAUCCAACCUCAGGGGCAUAAUCGGCCAAAACGCCCACUAAAACACAGGGUUCCAGAAAUGUCAACAGGAGAAUCAAAACAGCUACCAAACCUCAGGGGCAUAAUCGACCAAAACACCCACUAAAACAUAAGGUUUCAUAAUUACGCCAAUUAGACCCAUUGAUUGUGCUUGUGCAAACUACAUGAUGAAGACCCACAAUACCAUUUCCAGUAAUUAUAACCUGCCAAUAGUGUGCAGUAAUCCAAGGAAAACUAUUCUAACACAACACCUCCUAUAUAACAAAGACCAAUUGGAAAAAUCAACAAAAAAAAUGAGAGCAAUUUUGUAAAAGGUUAUUAAAUUGGAAUAUAAAGGUUAAACUAUAAUGAUUAAGCAUCUAAUCAGGUUGUUGAUUUCCUUUGUUUGGUGAAUAAUUCAACCAUUUACAUGAAUCUCAUUGCCUUCUUCCACUUCAAUCCCUUCAUUUUAUUGCUCUGUAAAAAAACAUCAUCUACAAUCAAAGAUCUAUAUAAUCAACUGAUCCCAACAACAAGAAACAGAUGAUCUCACUAUCUCAUAAACAACUAUAUAAUUAUUGUGUUAUUUCAAGAUAUAAACCAUCCACAUCAUAUCCGGUCAUCAACAUACACCCACCAUCACAGUAAGCCACUUAGUCGGACCACCAUUUAACACCACCAGACAUUAAACCACUGGUUUCACUCUAUGCUAACCAUUACUCGUUGUCACAUGUUACAGCUAAGCACCACCAUAACCUCCAUUUGUUUGAACAAACAUUACUUGAUUUCAUUAUCUUGAACCUCAAAUUUCUUUCUCAGCCCUACCCUACCCUACCGUGAAACUCCUCAUUUUGAUGGACCAAUGUCAAAAAGGUGUAGCAGUGAUUGAUGUAUGAGAUAACCUAGAAAAAUAGCAAUAACAUGAUCAAUAAUGAGAUUAAGAAAAUAAAUGUCUAUAUUUAAGUGACUAUAAAAGAUUGAAGCGAAAAGAAGCUUACAUAUAGACAAUUCUUGAGGUCUUUUCCAGAAGCAAUAUCUCCAGCAGCUGCAAAAUUAGAAAAGUUACACAUGAUCAUGGUGUAUGUAUACAUUGAUAAAGUCAUGUUGAACUCGAAAAUCUAUUUUAGAUGUAAAUCCAAAAGCAAACCUGAUGUAGGAAUGAGAUUCCUUUCACCUCUCUUACCUUAAAUAAUAUGUUUGAUUAGUUGAAAUUGAUCAUUAACAUGAGAUGCUAUUUAUGGAGAUCAAUGUUGGAGUGAUAGAUAGAUGCCAAUGCUAGUCGAGAAAAGGGGGAACAGGUUGUAUUUUGACAUCUUCUCACAUAACCCUGCAACUUAUUUUGCUGAUGUAGCAGUUGUUCAUAUAUAGUAAUAAAAAUAAAUUUUAGCAGAAGAAGAUUAUAUUUUAUCAUCAAACUUGUUUUCAGCAGAAGAAAGUGUUCCAUUUGGUAAAUGUAAUAUUGUAAAAAGAAACAACAGAUAAUUAACUUCUAUACAAUACAAUUUGUUUUAAAUAGAAUGUCAUUAACACGAUAUCAUCUCAAUGGGUUUUUGGACUGUUGAUUAUUUCAACAAAAUCUUUACUAUGAAAACAAAAAAACAAGCAUUGCUUACCUUGAAAUCAGGAUCGUCAGUAAUGACAAGGUCUUAAAAUCGUGGCAUGUUCUAAAAUCGUUGCACCUUCAUCUUUUGGGUUUGCACCAAGUGUCCCCAACGUCCAUGAAACCUACUAUCAACGCUCAAUUAGAAAGUAUCUAUCAACAAUUUAUGAUUUUCCGCAUUAUUUAAAAAUAACAUCACUCCAUUUGUUAUGUAUAUCUGACAAUCAUUUUAAAACAACCAAAAAAUGAAAAAAUAAAAACAAAAAACAAAAGCGAAAGAGAAAUAUAUACACACACAUAUAUAUAUAUAUAUAUAUAUAUAUAUAUAGAGAGAGAGAGAGAGAGAGAGAGGAGGGGGACCAGGAAAACUGAGUUAAGAGCUCUCAUUUGAUAUUGUUUUGAUACAUUUGACCUACACAAUACAAUAAAAACCAAGUUAAGAGCAAAUAUGUAAUUUAUAACCAGAAUAUGAGAGAGAAGACUGAUAAUAGCAAAGAAUUUCGUGGUGGUGGAGACGGCAGUUGAUGAAGAAGUGACGAUAUCUAGGGUUUUCACAGAAAGAGGUGUUGUUUACUUGCAAAUAGCGUUCGAUUUUUUAGAGAAAAGAUGAGAGAGAGUGUGUUCGGUGGUGAUAAUUUAAGAGACGGGGGCGAGAUAUUAGGAACUUCUUGAAUUCAAAAAAAUGUAACUAUAAUUCCUUGAUUUGUGCUUGGAAUGAGUCAUUUCCAAGUCUGUUAAGG
rnacentral:lncRNA from 1 species